GAAUGAGCCUGCAACCAAGGUCCGUACCCUUGACCAGAAUUGAACUGGGACCCUUCAGUCCAUGGGUGGAUGCUCUAUCCACUGAGCCAAACCGGCCAGGGCAGUAUUAUGUUUCUUAAAACCAAAUUUUGGAUGACAUUUUAGAUCCCACUGACAUUUUCAUCUCUCAAGAGUUAGCAGGUUUGCUUUGGAGUAUAAUUGCUGUCAUUGUUGAUGUUUUAUAAAAUUAACUUCUAGCAAAGUGUUUAACUGUACAAGGAAUUCUGAAUAAUAAUCUUAUAGCAUUUAAUCCUUUACAGAUGAGAAGAGGGAGGUGAAAGGAAGUGCAUCAGGAGGAAGGUGAAGUACUUGGAAACAGACGCGAUAUGCUGCAGCCACUUUGCAAUGUUUGAGGAAGUGUUUCAGUUUGCACAACAUCCUCCGAUGCCUGCAAGGGGACCUGGACCACCCCCGUUCCUUUGUCUGCGGCUUUUGGGGUAACCACUACUUACAAAAUCUGGCCCAUCUCUUCCAACAAGCGUCCUUGAAGACUGGCCUGCGGCCAUUACAGGAGCCGGGCAGCCGCCAUUACAGGAGCCGGGCCUGCCGCCACUACAGAUGGGGGGGUUUGCACUCAGCCUGUUUUACAUCCUCUCAUCCUUGCCCACGCCCUCUCCUAAAGAGCCUCGCUGCAGCACACCAGCCUGCCGCCUCCCCAAAGGAAAGGAACUUUUCCAGCCGGGAAGCCACAGCUUGGUGACUUAACACUGUCUGCCUUAAGAUUGUCAGCUACCUGGGGUCAAAGUCACUGUCAAACUCAUCUGUUUCCCAAGGCUCCUGGCACAUGGGAUUUGCUAUUGUAAGUACUUGGUUUUGUAAAUAACACCUAAUAAAGUUCCCAACAGCCUG